rnacentral:misc_RNA from 1 species
GAUGAAGAACGUAGCGAAAUGCGAUAAGUAAUGUGAAUUGCAGAAUUCAGUGAAUCAUCGAAUCUUUGAACGCACAUUGCGCCCGCUAGUAUUCUGGCGGGCAUGCCUGUCCGAGCGUCAUUUCAACCCUCAAGCCCCCGGGCUUGGUGUUGGGGAUCGGCGAGCCUCCGCGCCCGCCGUCCCCUAAAUCUAGUGGCGGUCUCGCUGUAGCUUCCUCUGCGUAGUAGUACACCUCGCACUGGGAAACAGCGCGGCCACGCCGUUAAACCCCCAACUUCUGAACGUUUGACCUCGGAUCAGGUAGGAAUACCCGCUGAACUUAAGCAUAUCAAUAAGCGGAGGA